UCCUAAUCUACGGUGUGCGACUCUUCCUUCGUCUGAGACGACGAACGAUCAGCCGUUUGUGUCGAUUCUGUUGGACUUCUUCUCACCAGCAAUGAGUAACAGAAACUAUUACGGACUGAUUUUAAUUGUUGUCUUUAGCGCCCUUCUUUACUCCUUCUCCCUUACUCCUUCCAUGAUUCAUCAUUUAAUGCAUCUUCUCUUCCAAUCUGUGAAUCUGCCGCUAUAAAUAGAUUAGGCUUGAUCCCGUAAGCUUCAUCAUUUCAUUCCUCACAAUUGUAAUAAUCAUAUACAAACUUUCUGUGAGCAGAAUAUAAUAUUCCUCUCUCCUCCUUCAUGACUUCAAAGCCGGUCGCUGCACAACUACCAUCGAGGUUUGGCUGCUGAGGUUAUGGGUAUUCAUGGAGGAGAGUUUCAUCUUCAUUCCGUUUAAACAAGCCACUAAAUUUAUUUCCUCGGUUCCAUUUCCUCCUCUGUUUCGGACGCAGCUUCAAAGUGAUGGGAGAGCACCCGGCAAAUUCUUCUUCAGAUAAUUCUAUGUCUGUCUGUGGAAGUGUUAAAUCGAUGGGGAGAGAGGAAGGUUAACAGAGUAUGACAAGGAAGGUUGGAACCCUGACAACAACUACGGUGAACAGAACAAGUUGAUUGAUGUGUGUUUUGAAGUUUAUAGUGAACUGAUAAUCCUCAAGGAUGGAGUGGCCAUUCCUAUGAUCGCUACAAAUAGUGCAGGUAAUAAUUCUUUUGGUCAUGAUAUGGGUUGGUGUAAGGAGGAGCUUUCAAACGCAUCAGAUGCAAACGGUGACGGUCCACUAAAUUUAACAGAGUUCAAUGAGCCUUAUCCUCUUGAGUCCUCAUUGCUCAGCACAUUAGCUCCAUUAUCAUCAUCCUCAGGUGAAAACACAGAGCUUCACUCUUCGAGCUCCACUAAACUCAAAACGACAACACAAGUUACUGCUGAAGUCUCUCCGUCUUCUUCUUUGACCACCAGCCUGAGCCAUUCCAAUCUUGCUGAGACCAAAAAAAAAAAAGACUCAGCUAGCAUUGAGUUUUAAGACUUCCAAGUUAAAGAUUUAUGACUCAGAUUGUUAUAAGUAAAUUUCUGAUUUAAUCUCAGUUUUGUAUCUUCUAAGUCAUGAAAGCUUUGUAAACUAUUUACUUGGCUCUGCUUAAGACUCAAAACCAAUGUCUUCAUAAUUGCUGACUCUAUUUAGAAUUACAAUCAAGAAGAGAAAAAAAUAUUAUGCAACAAUUGCUUUUACGUGGCUCUCUCCGAGAAGUAACAGUAGAGGACAAUGUCAAUGAAAGGAGAAAUAUAAACAAUAUGG